GACGAACGCUGGCGGCGUGCUUAACACAUGCAAGUCGAACGGUGAAGCGCCUUCCUUUUUGGUGGGUGUGGAUGAGUGGCGAACGGGUGAGUAACACGUGAGUAACCUGCCCCCUUCUUCUGGAUAACCGCAUGAAAGUGUGGCUAAUACGGGAUAUUCUGGGUCUGUCGCAUGAUGGGUCUGGGAAAGAUAUUGUUUCGGUGGGGGAUGGGCUCGCGGCGUAUCAGCUUGUUGGUGGGGUGAUGGCCUACCAAGGCGGUGACGGGUAGCCGGCCUGAGAGGGUGGCCGGACACAGUGGGACUGAGACACGGGCCAGACUGCGACUGGAGGCAGCAGUGGGGAAUAUUGCACAAUGGGCGCAAGCCUGAUGCAGCGACGCCGCGUGAGGGAUGGAGGCCUGCGGGUGGUGAACCUCUUUCGCCAGUGAAGCAGGCCUGCCUUGUUUGUGGGUGGGUUGACGGUAGCUGGAGAAGAAGCGCCGGCUAACUACGUG
rnacentral:rRNA from 1 species